CAAAAACCAACAGCCAUUGUGGUUGAACUUGCAAAUAGCCUACCAAUAAGCAAGUUCUUUUUCAAUUUAUUAAGUAUUUCAUCGUGGAGUCGGAUUACAGUUGGGCUGACUGAGAGGAGGAGCCAGCCAGGCAACAACACAUACUGUACUGUUCCAUGAAGAAGUCAGACAAAGUUUGGUACCAAGAUUGACGUUGGCCAUCAUUCAAACAAAAAGAUGCCUCCCUGGCAGACAGUGCAUAUUUCCAAACUAUGUUUGCAUACAAUGACAAUAACAUCUCUAAACUA